GCAAGAAUCAUUUAUGGGAGCAAGCCCCACAUAUACAAGUAAGUGUUGACAAACCACUAUUUUGGUAAUAGGUAGCCUAGUUCAGUGCGUAACCUGCCAAUUUGAUAUUUAAACUCAAGAUCCAUAAUUCUCAAGAGGUAGUAAUUAAAAAAACAACUAUAUGUAUACUGCAAGGCAAAUCGCAUAGAUGCAUGGAUUUGCUCCUCAACCAAAAUGAAGGUUUACUUCGAUUUAUAAAGAUGAAAUCGAUUGAAGUAAUUACUGUGGACUUUUUGAAUGACUUUACUAGAAAGAACAUACAAGACAUCAGCAAGUUUUCAAAGCUGAAACGCAUACUACUUCAUUAUGUGUUUUCCAACUCCUUACUUGAGUUCCAUGUUACAAUUUUACUUCAUCUAAGGAAUCCAAAGAUGCAUGUUGCACUUCUAUGUGCCGCUCUUCUCAAAGCAACGAAAGCAAGGAUCCCAUCACUUUCUUUACCUCCAGAUGCCAUUAAUUUCACAUAGAACAGGAUGCUCCAGAAUGUCUACAAUCUGUUUCAGAAAAUACAAACAUCAUCAAGCCUUCCACCGAAGGAAGAAAUUGAUAGUUGUACAGUUAGCAAGAAUCAUAAAAGUCAACUUAAACGGUGAAUAAGCGCACGAAGCAUCCCACACUUGUGGGCUUUAGAGAGGACUGAUUUACGCAACCUUACACCUAUUUUGUAGAGAGGCUAUUUCGAUAAAAGUCAACUUUAAGGAAUAAAAGAAGUUUGCUGGCCACAAAAACAGGGAUAUAUAGACAACUGAUUUCAUCCCAGCCAUUUACUUUUAAAGAACUAAGAAAUUUCAAGUUCCUAGGAAGUUCUCAAGAGGUAUAUACUGUAAACCAUUUCCAAGUUAGGAAUAGGAAGUUCUAAGAAAUUCAAGGAAUGAAAUCUAAGAAAUUUAAGGAAUAAAAUUUACUUAAAAGUUUGAAGAAUGAUUUAGAAUAGAGAGAAUGGUAAUUUUAUCAAAAGUUGCCAUCUUGAAUUCUCUCAGAAAGAGUUUGGUUUUAAACUAUGAAAACUGCUAUAUGCAAUUUUGCGCCUUCAAAUCAGGCAGAAAAAUUAAAUAAAAACAAAAAUAGUUGAAACAACAGAAAACACUUGCUUUCAAAUGUUUUAGCAUAUUUACAUUUCCAAAUUCCAAAUUUUCUGCACUGAUUUUGAAAACUUUGACAAAACAGGAACCACAUGUCUCCAUUCAGGUUCAGGAGGAUUUGCAGUACAUGUGCAGAGAAAAUGCGUAAAAAUAUAACUAUCGUAUGAAGCAGGAAUUUUUCUGACAUUACAAUCUAAAACACAGAUCAAUCAAGUCACUUUUCAUUUUAGAAAAGCUAUUUAAGACUACUUAAUCAAUUUAGAGGCCAAGGGGAGGUGGUGAGGAGAGAGAGAUAAGUUAGUGGAAUUGGAUGUAAUCUCACCAAGGGUGGCAAAAAUGUUGAGCUAUCUCAAGUAGCAUCUGACCCAGGCUGCUUCUGAAUAUGGGGACAGCAUUGCUGACGCAAAUACAAAAAAGGUAAAAUAUAUGUACAUAACAUCUGUGCGCUUUAUAGCCCCAGCUGCUUCAUCCACAAUGACCAUUUAACAGCUUCUAAGUAUUUAUCAUUCUUUUGCAAAGCAGUAAUCAAAUUGGUGUAGGUUAUCUUGUCAGGCUCUAUCCCAUUUUGUCUCAUUUCCUUGACCAAAUUGAUGGCGUCUUCAAUCAUCCCAGCAAUUCCAUAUGCCUUUAUCAAUGUGUUAUAGCUGCACAAAUCAGGCCCUGGUCCCCAUUCUUUCAAUUCUGUCAGCACCCCUGCUACUUCAUCAAUCCAUCCUUGCUGUCCAUAAAUAUUGAUCAUAAUGUUGUAUGUAUGCUGGUCAGAAUUACACCUUGAUUGCUUCAUUCUCUGUAAGACACAUCUAAAACUCUCCAUUUUACCUUCCUUUCCAUAUGCAUCCAACAUGCAAUUGUAGCCUUCAAGGGAAACUGAAAAACCAUCAAAUUGCAUUCUCUUUACGGUUGAAGCCAUAUUCUUGAAGUCUCUAUUUUGUCCAUAUGCAGCUAUCACAGUAUUGUAAGAGAUUACAUCAACCAAGCCUCGUUUUCUAGCCAUCCAGAAUAAUUUCCUAACCUUCUUGAAUAACUUAGCUUUCCCAUAAACAUCCAGCAUGGUAUUGAAGGUUAUAGUAUUAGGAGAAAAGCCACGAUGAAGCAUCUCAUUGAAAAGUCUGGAAAGUUCAUCAACCGGUAGAGCACGAGCACAACAAUUUAUGAUACAACUAUACAAUUCUUGAUCCCAAACAACCUCACUUCUCAAGAUUUUAUAAUACAGAUCAUUUAAUUUGCUCAUCAUUCCACAUCGUUGAUAAAUACGAAGCAUGUCACGGAGUAGAUAAAUGUCUGGAAUUAUGUCUUUCUGCUUCUCCAUUGUUUCAAGAACAGAACAAGCAUCUUUCAAGGAUCCAGCUUUGACAUACAUUCUUACAACAAUGCUAAAGGAAAUCAUGUCUAAAGCAAUUCCAGAAGAUUUUAGUUGUAGAUAGAGUUUCUCCCCUUCAGUAAAUAGGCCAAGGGAACUGUAAAUGUCAAUCAUAGUGCAUGAGAUGUGCAAGUUUGGCUUACCAUUAGACUUGGGCAUUUGAUUGUAUAUCUUAACAGCAUUCUCAAGAUGCCCCAACUCCUUGCAUGAGCAAAUCAACAAAUGAUACAAGUUGUCCUCAAAAACUGGAUCAUUCCACUCUUUGUCCCCCAACACUUUUAAAGCAUUAUCGACCAAGCAAUAUUUCAUAUAAGCCAUUACCAGAAUGGAGCAAGAAGUCUGAUUUACAAGAACGUGUUGAUAGAAGGAACCUUUCAAAAGGAGAGGUACUUUACUAAUCCUUCCAGCCCUCUCAUAUGAUUUCAGUAGAGUGCCAAGAAUCGAAGAAUACUGGCAUCCCAUCUUCAGCAUAUCAUCAAGAGUUCUCACAGCACCCUCUUCAUCACCAUGUUUGGCUUGUAAGUUUAUUAGCGUAUACAAGUUAGAUGAGUUAGGUUUGAAUCCCAACCGUUUGAGCUCUGAAUAAUACCAUCCUGCCUCCUUAUAAUUGCCAGUUCGACCCCAACCCUCAAUCAUGGAACGAUAAGUUGUUUCAUCAGGCUCUAAUCCAACAUUCUGGAUUUCCAAGAAUAGGCGUUGAGCAGCAACCAUGUUUGAUAGCUUGCCAUACCCAGUUAACAGCGUAUUAUAAGCAACAAUAUUGGGGGAAAACCCGGAUUCUUGCAUUGCAACCGACACCUGCUCAGCCUCUUCUAACUUGCCUUGCUGACUAUAAGCAUUAACCAACACCAACCAAUUCUCCAAAUUCAAUGCCACUUUAUCUUCUCUCAUUAAGCCAAUAACUUCUUCUGCUUUGUCAUACAAUCUUAAACGAGUAUAAAUAGUAAUCAUGGCAGAGUAUGCAGACUGACAUAUAAUUCUGAAACUCCUCAUUUGGGAAAACACAAAUUCUGCCUCCUCGACGUUCCAACCCUUUUGGAAAAGCCCCAUGAGCAUGCCAAAGGUGGCCAUGUUGGGCUGCACACCAAGUUCCAACAUCAUUCGAAACCAUUUCCCACCCAGCUCCAUAAGCCCCCGUUUAGAACAAACAUAAAUUAGCGUGUUAAAAACCCGAAAAUCUAGCGCAGUACCAAAGCUACCACUCACUUCUCUAAUCAUCCUCUCUGCAAAAUCCCAAUCUUCUCUACUGCCCAACACUCGAAGAAUCGCAUUAUAAGCAUCCAAAUUCUCUUCUAGCUUCCCAUUACUCUUCAUCCACUCAAAGAACCUCAAAGUUUUACUUUCACAACUACACCUCUCAAGCUUUUUCAAAAUAAAAUUACAUUGUUCUAAGCUCAAGUUAGAGUGAAUAACAGAGUAAUUAACAUCCAAUUCAGUAUCAUGCACAAAAAAUUCCUCUCUUUCUUCUCGACUACUAUUCCUUUUGUUAUUAAACUUAAAUCCCACUUGUCUUUUCCUCCCUUUCUUCGCACCCCUAUAAUUUUUCCUGAUUUCACGUUUCGAAUCCGGGUUCCGCUCAAUCAAAUCAUGAUUUAAGUUUUUAUGGACCAAAUCGCGUGAUGUGGAUAAAACAGCAUCACUCUCAGACAAUUCAGUUUCAAUCCGAGAGACUUUAACAGGACUGAAUCUACUCAAAAUGGUAAUUAAGCAAGCUUUAGACGAGGGAAUGCAAUUAGAAAUGGAAAAAAGUGAGAUAUGAGAGGGCAAUUGGAGUGGGUUUUUAGAGAAAUUGGACUUGUUUGCAUCCAAAGAAAUGGAUAAUCUGAGAAAGGCCAUGGUUGAGAGUGGAUUCAAAUCAAGAUUCUGGCAUUUAUUUAGAAGUAAAGACAAGAAAAAUCAAGAGAGAGGGCUAAGUGUGGCAUACCUUGGGGAGGUUGUUGGGAGAGAUAAUGGAAGCUGAAGCAUUGGAGGAAAACAACUGAGUUUUAGAUUUUUUUUAUUUUAUUUUAUUUAUUUUCUCUUGUAGGAGGAUCUUUGUGCAAUUUUUUAUCAAUUAAUAAUUUAAUAAAAUUAUAACGG
rnacentral:misc_RNA from 1 species